rnacentral:misc_RNA from 1 species
GGCCAGUUUAAGUGUACUUCUUGUGGUGUAACCUUUAAAACCUCGAGCUUAAAUGAACAAAAGGCAAGACCUUGACCAAGCAAGUUAAUUUGUUCCAUCUAGCUUUAGAGGACAAAUCUUAAGAGAAAGAUUGUCACCUAGAUUUCCCAUUCUACUUCUGCCAAUCUGAAUGCCUAAGUUUGAAUGUUUUCUUCCAACAUGUUCGACUGUACAUAGGAAAAUACUAAUAGGGAGGAUCGUUGCUUGAAAGAGAAGCGGUCAAUAUUACUGAAAAAUCCUUAGUCAACACUAUAUGGGAAUUCUGAUAAUAUCAUAAUUUACAAGAGUUUUGAAAUGAGAUUAUAGUGAUCCAAU